AGAUCCGCUGCUGCUGAGGAGAGGAGUGUCAACAGCAGCACCAUGGUAGCUCAACAGAAGAACCCUGAAGGCUAUGUGGGAUUUGCCAAUCUCCCAAAUCAAGUAUACAGAAAGUCAGUGAAAAGAGGGUUUGAAUUCACACUUAUGGUAGUAGGUGAAUCUGAAUUGGGAAAGUCAACAUUAAUCAACUCAUUAUUCCUCACAGAUUUGUAUUCUCCAGAGUAUCCAGGUCCGUCCCAUAGAAUAAAAAAGACUGUACAGGUGGAACAAUCCAAAGUUUUAAUCAAAGAAGGUGGUGUUCAAUUGCUGCUCACAAUAGUUGAUACCCCAGGAUUUGGAGAUGCAGUGGAUAAUGGUAAUUGCUGGCAGCCUGUUAUCGACUACAUUGAUAGUAAAUUUGAGGAUUACCUAAACGCAGAAUCUCGAGUGAACAGACGUCAGAUGCCUGAUAGCAGAGUGCAGUGUUGUUUAUACUUCAUUGCUCCUUCAGGACAUGGACUUAAACCAUUGGAUAUUGAGUUUAUGAAACGUUUGCAUGAGAAAGUGAAUAUCAUCCCACUAAUUGCCAAAGCAGACACACUCACACCGGAGGAAUGCCAGCAGUUUAAAAAACAGAUAAUGAAAUAAAUCCAAGAACAUAAAAUUAAAAUCUAUGAAUUUCCAGAAACAGACGAUGAAGAGGAAAAUAAGCUGGUUAAAAAGACGAAGGACCGUUUACCUCUUGCUGUGGUAGGUAGUAAUCCCAUCAUGGAAGUUCAUGGCAAGAGGGUCAGAGGGGGUGGGGCUGAAGUUGAAAAUGGUGAACAUUGUGAUUUUACAAUUUUAAGGAAUAUGUUGAUCAGAACACAUAUGCAGGACUUAAAAGAUGUUACCAAUAAUGUACACUAUGAGAACUACAGAAGCAGAAAACUGGCAGCUGUGACUUACAAUGGGGUUGACCACAACAAGAAUAAAGGACAGCUUACUAAGAGCCCUCUGGCACAAAUGGAAGAAGAAAGAAGGGAGCAUGUAGCCAAGAUGAAGAAGAUGGAAAUGGAGAUGGAGCAGGUGUUUGAGAUGAAAGUCAAAGAAAAAGUUCAAAAGCUGAAGGACUCUGAAGCUGAGCUCCAGCGGUGCCAUGAGCAAAUGAAGAAGAAUUUGGAAGCACAGCACAAAGAAUUAGAGGAAAAACGUCAUCAGUUUGAGGAGGAGAAAGCAAACUGGGAAGCUCAACAACGUAUUUUAGAACAGCAGAACUCUUCAAGAACCUUGGAAAAGAACAAGAAGAAAGGGAAGAUCUUUUAAACUCUUUAUUGACCACCAGUUACGUAUUAGUUGCCAAUAUGCCAGCUUGGACAUCAGUGUUUGUUGGAUCCGUUUGACCAGUUUGCACCAAUUUUAUCCAUAAUGAUGGAUUUAACAGCAUGACAAAAAUUAUUUUUUUGUUAUUGUUCUCGAUGGAGAUUAAGAUGCCUUGAAUUAUCUAGGGUGUUCUGUACUUAGAAAGUAACAGCUCUAAGUACCUUCCUACAUUUUUUUUUAUUAUUAAACAGAUGUCUUCAAUUUAAUGCAAGAGAACAUUUUACUGUUGUACAAUCAUGUUCUGGUGGUUUGUUUACAGGAUAUUCCAAAAUAAAAGGACUCUGGAAGGUUUUCAUUGAGGAUAAAUUGCCAUAAGAUGACACAAACUAUGCUUCUAUAUGAUAAUUAUAAUACAAAGGUUCCAUUCAAUGCAGCCUAUACAAUAAUGUAAUUUAGUCUAACACAGUUGACCCUAUUUUUGACACUUCCAUUGUUUAAAAAUACAUAUGGAAAAAAAAACCGUAUAUGCUUACAGUGCACCUAGAGCUUUUUAUAACAACCUUUUUUUGUUUGUUUGUUUGUUUGUUUUGGAUUCUUUAAAUAUAUAUUAUUCUCAUUUAGUGCCCUCUUUAGCCAGAAUCUCAUUACUACUUCAUUUUUGUAAUAACAUUUAAUUUAGAUAUUUUCCAUAUAUUGGACCUGCUAAAAUAGAAUAUAGCAUCUUUCAUAUGGUAGGAACCAACAGGGAAACUUUCUUUUAACUCCCUUUUUACACUUUAUGGUAAGUAGCAGGGGGAAAAUGCAUUUAUAGAUCAUUUCUAGGCAAAUUGUGAAGCUAACGACCAACCUGUUUCUACCUAUAUGCAGUCUCUUUAUUUUACUAGAAAUGGGAAUCAUGGCCUCUUGAAGAGAAAAAAAGUCACCAUCUGCAUUUAGCUGUAUUCAUAUAUUGCAUUUCUGUAUUUUUUGUUUGUAUUGUAAAAAAUUCACAUAAUAAACAAUGUUGUGAU